rnacentral:tRNA from 1 species
GGAUUUAGCUCAGUGGUAGAGCACUUGCCUAGCAAGCACAAGGCCCUGGGUUCGGUCCCCAGAUCUG